CACUUGGCGCGGGCGCGCUCGGACCGCUGCUUGUUCAUGGCGGUCAGCAUCUGGCUGAUGUACGACGUCAGCAGGUCGUCCAUCUUGUAGCCCUUUGAGAGGAGCACAGACCAGGAAUGUCGUCAGGGAAGUAAACCUUGUGGAAGAUCUGCGUGGUCUUGUGCUGGAUGGCCUCCACUUCCACCAGAUGAGGCGGGUACUUCCUGGACCCGUUUCUGUCGCCGGGGAAAUGACAUUUUUGUCUUUUUCAUUUUCACGAAAUGUGAUUUUUGAAGCUGAUCCACAACCGAGGAGGUCCAAUCGUCCUGGCUCAAACGUGGCCUCUCCCGCCCCCCCCAACUGGCGGCUGGCGCUCACCGUACGGCUUUGUGCAGCCUGUGCAUG